CUGUGGUUAACACUUGAUAUUGAAUGGAUUCUGGAACGAACCAUUUAUUAAACGUAAGGCCUUAGGAUGAGUCGGCGGCGGAUUAGGCAGUUGGCGGUGUAACGGACCACCAAACCAAAGAUCCGUAGGGGCCCUGAGAGGGGUAGCCCCGAGAGGGACACUGAAAUACUGGUCCCAGCUCCACGGAGUGCAGCAGGCGCGAAACCUUCGCAAUGCGCGAAAGCGUGACGAGGGGAUUCCGAGUGCUUACAUUUUUUGUAAGCUUUUGCCAAGAGUUAAUAUCUUGGAGAAUAAGUGGUGGGAAAGACCGGUGCCAGCAGCCGCGGUAACCCCGGCGCCACAAGUGGCAAUCUUAUAUUGGGCCUAAAGCAUUCGUAGCCGGUUUGAAAAGUCCUUUGUGAAAUCGUCGAACUCAAUACGACGGCAUGCAGGGGACACUUUCAGACUAGAGACUGGGAGGAGUUGGGGGUAUGCCUUGGGGAACGGUUAAAUGUGAUAAUCCAAGGUAGACCACCUGUGGCGAAGGCGCCCAACUA
rnacentral:rRNA from 1 species